rnacentral:rRNA from 1 species
GACGAACGCUGGCGGCGUGCUUAACACAUGCAAGUCGAACGGAAGGGCCCUGCUUUUGUGGGGUGCUCGAGUGGCGAACGGGUGAGUAACACGUGAGUAACCUGCCCUUGACUUUGGGAUAACUUCAGGAAACUGGGGCUAAUACCGGAUAGGAGCUCCUGCUGCAUGGUGGGGGUUGGAAAGUUUCGGCGGUUGGGGAUGGACUCGCGGCUUAUCAGCUUGUUGGUGGGGUAGUGGCUUACCAAGGCUUUGGCGGGUAGCCCGCCUGAGAGGGUGACCGGCCACAUUGGGACUGAGAUACGGCCCAGACUCCUACGGGAGGCAGCAGUGGGGAAUAUUGCACAAUGGGGGGAAGCCUGAUGCAGCAACGCCGCGUGCGGGAUGACGGCCUUCGGGUUGUAAACCGCUUUCGCCUGUGACGAAGCGUGAGUGACGGUAAUGGGUAAAGAAGCACCGGCUAACUACGUG